rnacentral:rRNA from 1 species
CCUACGGGCGACUGCAGUGAGGAAUAUUGGUCAAUGGGAGAGAUCCUGAACCAGCCAAGCCGCGUGAGGGAAGACGGCCCUAUGGGUUGUAAACCUCUUUUGUCGGAGAACAAAACCCGGGACGUGUCCCGGACUGCGUGUAUCCGAAGAAAAAGCAUCGGCUAACUCCGUGCCAGCAGCCGCGGUAAUACGGAGGAUGCGAGCGUUAUCCGGAUUUAUUGGGUUUAAAGGGUGCGUAGGCGGUCCGUUAAGUCAGCGGGAAAAUUGCGGGGCUCAACCCCGUCGAGCCGUUGAAACUGGCAGACUUGAGUUGGCGAGAAGUACGCGGAAUGCGCGGUGUAGCGGUGAAAUGCAUAGAUAUCGCGCAGAACUCCGAUUGCGAAGGCAGCGUACCGGCGCCAGACUGACGCUGAGGCACGAAAGCGUGGGGAUCGAACAGGAUUAGAUACCCCUGUAGUC